GACGAACGCUGGCGGCGUGCCUAAUACAUGCAAGUGGGACGCAAGGGAACACACUGUGCUUGCACACCGUGUUUUCUUGAGUCGCGAACGGGUGAGUAACGCGUAGGUAACCUGCCUAUUAGCGGGGGAUAACUAUUGGAAACGAUAGCUAAUACCGCAUAAUAUUAAUUAUUGCAUGAUAAUUGAUUGAAAGAUGCAAGCGCAUCACUAGUAGAUGGACCUGCGUUGUAUUAGCUAGUUGGUAAGGUAAGAGCUUACCAAGGCGACGAUACAUAGCCGACCUGAGAGGGUGAUCGGCCACACUGGGACUGAGACACGGCCCAGACUCCUACGGGAGGCAGCAGUAGGGAAUCUUCGGCAAUGGACGAAAGUCUGACCGAGCAACGCCGCGUGAGUGAAGAAGGUUCUCGGAUCGUAAAGCUCUGUUGUAAGUCAAGAACGUGUGUGAGAGUGGAAAGUUCACACAGUGACGGAGCUACCAGAAAGGAC
rnacentral:rRNA from 1 species